rnacentral:rRNA from 1 species
GAGUUUGAUCCUGGCUCAGAUUGAACGCUGGCGGCAUGCCUUACACAUGCAAGUCGAACGGUAACAGGUUAAGCUGACGAGUGGCGAACGGGUGAGUAAUAUAUCGGAACGUGCCCAGUCGUGGGGGAUAACUGCUCGAAAGAGCASCUAAUACCGCAUACRACCUGAGGGUGAAAGCGGGGGAUCGCRAGACCUCKCGCGAUUGSAGCGKCCGAUAUCAGAUUAGGUAGUUGGWG